rnacentral:rRNA from 1 species
AUGGUUGCGAAAUUCUCAUCCAUAUCUACUCGAAAGCUACCUAAAGCAUUAUCGGUGUUGAGUCGUGAUAAAACAAUGGUUGCUACAUGUGACUAUGGUGACUUCCACAAAAUGGUGAAGCGCUUUGUUAUGGCGGGUUUGUUGGGUUCUUCUGCUCAGAGACAAUUUCGGGAGACGAGAAACAUGAUGAUGGACAACAUGUUAACCACCUUUCAUACAUUGGUGGCUGAUGACCCACAUGCUCCUCGGAACUUUCGACAAGUUUUCAAGGAGGAGCUAUUCCGCUUAUCGUUGAUCCAGGGUUUAGGUGAGGAUGUGAGUUCAGUUUAUGUGAAGGAGUUUGGACGGGACAUAUCAAAGGAUGAAAUCUACCAGAUCAUUGUGGCUGACAUGAUGAUGUGCGUCACUGAGAUUGAUUGGAGGGAUUUCUUCCCGUACCUCAGCUGGAUUCCAAACAAGAGCUUUGAUACAGCAGUUGCUACCACAGAAUCUAGGCGAACCACGGUGAUGCGAGCGUUGAUCGAUCAGCAGAAGGAAAGAAUUGCGCGUGGCAAGGCAAAGACAUCCUAUCUGGACUUUUUGUUGGCAGAGAACACAUUGACAGAUGACCAAGUAACGAUGCUGGUGUGGGAGUCAAUCAUAGAGGGUGCAGAUACUACUUUGGUGACGACCGAGUGGGCUAUGUACGAGCUUGCCAAGAACCCCGAAAAACAGGAUCGUCUCUACCGGGAGAUCCAGGAGGUGUGCGGCGAGGACAUGGUGACGGAGGAUCAUCUUCCUCGGUUGCCGUACCUGAAUGCCGUGUUCCACGAGACGCUGCGGCGCCAUUCUCCUGUCUCGCUUCUGCCUCCAAGGUUCGUCCAUGAGACCACCACACUGGCCGGCUACGAUGUCCCAGCCGGAACAGAGGUGAUCGUCAAUGUGUACGCCUGCAACAUGGACAAGAAAGAGUGGGAGGAGCCCGAGGAGUGGAGGCCGGAGAGGUUCCUGAACGACGGUAGGUUCGACGUCGCGGACAUGUACAAGACCAUUGCAUUCGGCGCCGGGAGGAGGGUCUGUGCCGGGAGCGCGCAGGCGACGGGCAUUUCGUGUGCCGCCAUGGCGAGGUUCGUGCAGGAGUUCGUUUGGACGCUCAAGGAGGGCGACGAGGACAAGGUGGACACCGUCCAGCUCAUGGGCUACAAGCUCCACCCCCUCUACGUGUAUCUCUCGCCGAGGAGAGGGAGGCAGUGA